rnacentral:rRNA from 1 species
GACGAACGCUGGCGGCGUGCCUAAUACAUGCAAGUCGAACGCUUCUUUCCUCCCGAGUGCUUGCACUCAAUUGGAAAGAGGAGUGGCGGACGGGUGAGUAACACGUGGGUAACCUACCCAUCAGAGGGGGAUAACACUUGGAAACAGGUGCUAAUACCGCAUAACAGUUUAUGCCGCAUGGCAUAAGAGUGAAAGGCGCUUUCGGGUGUCGCUGAUGGGUGGACCCGCGGUGCAUUAGCUAGUUGGUGAGGUAACGGCUCACCAAGGCCACGAUGCAUAGCCGACCUGAGAGGGUGAUCGGCCACACUGGGACUGAGACACGGCCCAGACUCCUACGGGAGGCAGCAGUAGGGAAUCUUCGGCAAUGGAUGAAAGUCUGACCGAGCAACGCCGCGUGAGUGAAGAAGGUUUUCGGAUCGUAAAACUCUGUUGUUAGAGAAGAACAAGGACGUUAGUAACUGAACGUCCCCUGACGGUAUCUAACCAGAAAGCCACGGCUAACUACGUG